AGUGGCCGCGCGGCACCACGUGAUCAAACCCUUCGCUCGUGAUUGGCUGCUUAUCGCGUCAGGAGGGAACCGGCUUCCUUUUCUCUCCUCUCCGCCUUCUUCUCUUUUGCGGGUUACCUUCUCUUGCGUGAGUAUGAUGCGAUGCGUUCCCGGGUUUGCUGUGUUUGCGUGCGGUGUGGCGUGUGUGGCAGGCGUGGGAGGUGUUCCUGUGGCCAACACUGGUCGUAGAGGAAAUGUACAAGCCAGGAAAUAAGUACCUUGCUCUUUGCGUCAGCUGGAGCUCCUCAUCCGCCUCGUCUCAUCGUCAUCUGAGCGCCACUGUGACCGGCGGCGUAUUUAAUAUAGAACGUUUGACUCUCUCUUUGACCUUCUGCGAGCCAAGGAGAGUAGCAUUUAUUCCCCCCGUCCCCCCUUCCCCCAGGAGUGGAAGUGUCGCGCCAGGUAAUACACAUGAAUAUUAACACCGCCUCUCCUCCCUCAGCUCGCCGCCUACUUAAGAAACCCUUGUAGGGAAGAUAAUGGGGGUCGUAAGCAGCAGGGAACCUUUUAUAGGGUUUCUGAUCCCUAUUUUUCCGGGCAGUUUAACCCGACCAGGAGUGGAGGAGAAGAGGAUUGGAGUCCGCUCAGAGGGAAGAGGCGUGUGGGUUACAGCUGCUACAAACUCUGAAACAAGAGCUGAAGAGUCUUACAAGGGGGACGCGUAUGAGGGUAAAGACAGAAGCGUAAGGUAGUGAUGUUGGGGAGUCGUGAAAAUCUGAAGGUCUGAAAUGUAAGAGGAUGAGGAAGAAGAGAGAUUAGGAAGAGGAUGUCGGUAAGAGGGUUAACCUUUUUUUUUUUUUCUGAGUGUGGAUUGAUUAGUAGGUCUUAGAGAGAUGCUGGGAAUGGAAAAGGAACGGUCGGUUAGAAAUGGAGGAAGAAUUAAUGUUGGUAGGAGUUUGUGGUGCGUGUUUGUUACUUUUUGGCUUUUCAUUCUUUUUUUUGUUUCUUUCUCAUCCUUAACGUUUACUAGUGUCAUCUGGAUGUAAUGGGUGUGGUGACUUUUGUUUUAAGGAAAGGGAAAUGGUGGUGGUCGUGGUGGUUUGUUGGGAAGUGAGGUCUUGUGUGUGUGUGCGUGU